rnacentral:rRNA from 1 species
UGAGGAACAUGACCUUCGGCGGGGGAUAGCCGGCCCAACGGCCGGGUAAUACCGUGUACGACCACAUGGGGACAUCCCUGAGUGGUGAAAGCAGCAAUGCGCCGAUGGAGUGCCUCGCGGCCUAUCAGCUAGUUGGUGAGGUAACGGCUCACCAAGGCGACGACGGGUAGCUGGUCUGAGAGGAUGGCCAGCCACAUUGGGACUGAGACACCGGCCCACGACCCCCGUAGGGACGGCG